rnacentral:rRNA from 1 species
AAACGGGGAUUAAUACCCCAUACGAUUCAUUUGUGGCCUCACAAAUGGAUAAAAGCUACGGCGGUUUCAGAUGGUCAUGCGUACCAUUAGUUAGUUGGUGAGGUAAAGGCUCACCAAGGCGAUGAUGGUUAGGGGUCCUGAGAGGGUAGUCCCCCACACUGGUACUGAGACACGGACCAGACUCCUACGGGAGGCAGCAGUGAGGAAUAUUGGUCAAUGGGCGCUAGCCUGAACCAGCCAUGCCGCGUGCAGGAAGACGGCCCUACGGGUUGUAAACUGCUUUUCUGCAGGAAGAAUAUAUAGUCUUAGGGCUAUAUUGACGGUACUGCAGGAAUAAGCAUCGGCUAACUCCGUGCCAGCAGCCGCGGUAAUACGGAGGAUGCAAGCGUUAUCCGGAUUCAUUGGGUUUAAAGGGUGCGCAGGCUGUAAAGCAAGUCAGUGGUGAAAGCCCUGGGCUUAACUCAGGGAUUGCCAUUGAAACUGUUUUACUAGAGUGUAGUAGAGGACGGCGGAAUGAGUUGUGUAGCGGUGAAAUGCAUAGAUAUAACUCAGAACACCUAUUGCGUAGGCAGCUGUCUAUACUACAACUGACGCUGAGGCACGAAAGCGUGGGGAGCGAACAGGAUUAGAUACCCUGGUAGUCCACGCUGUAAACGAUGAUCACUCGUUGUUGGCUACUUAGUAGUCAGUGACCAAGGGAAACCGAUAAGUGAUCCACCUGGGGAGUACGUCGGCAACGAUGAAACUCAAAGGAAUUGACGGGGGCCCGCACAAGCGGAGGAACAUGUGGUUUAAUUCGAUGAUACGCGAGGAACCUUACCUGGGCUUAAAUGCUGGCUGCAUUGGAGGGAAACCUUCAUUUCCUACGGGACCGCCAGCAAGGUGCUGCAUGGUUGUCGUCAGCUCGUGCCGUGAGGUGUCGGGUUAAGUCCCAUAACGAGCGCAACCCCUAUCGCUAGUUGCCAGCAUGUAAUGGUGGGGACUCUAGCGAGACUGCCGGUGUAAACCGGAGGAAGGUCGGGGAUGACGUCAAAUCAGCACGGCCCUUACGUCCAGGGCUACACACGUGUUACAAUGGCCGGUACAAAGAGCAGCCACCUGGCGACAGGGCGCUAAUCUCUAAAACCGGUCUCAGUUCGGAUCGAAGUCUGCAAUUCGACUUCGUGAAGGUGGAUUCGC